rnacentral:misc_RNA from 1 species
AAGUCGUAACAAGGUUUCCGUAGGUGAACCUGCGGAAGGAUCAUUAAUGAAUUUUGGAGUUCUACUGUGCCUGCCGUUCAUUCGGAUGUGUGCACGUAGUCUCUAUAAAUCCUUAUCAACACCUGUGCACCUUUAAAAAGGGGGGAGUCUGUUUAAGCAUUUUAUGAUGCUUAUGACGAAUAACCUCUUUUCUUAUACAAACUCUUUUAAUGUCUAUUAGAAUGUUCUCUGGCCGCAAGGCUAUAAAAUAUAAACAACUUUUAACAACGGAUCUCUUGGCUCUC